AGAAAAUGAGUGGAAUGCUUAGAGUAGUAAUUUCAAGAACCAAACUUAACAAUAUCUGAGAUGUUUGGCACAGAUUUUUUGGUUUUGUAUACUGCCCAUGAGACUCCCGAUUUUUAGAAAACUGGUGCAGAGUCAUAAACAACUUGUGCUUCUGAUCUCUUUCCCAAUUUAAUUAAGAAUUCAUGAACAUUUAGUGGAGAACACUUGAGAAGAGCACAACCAGCUACAGGCAAGUCUGCACCUUUAUUUUCCUCCCUCUUAUGUAAAAACAAUCAGGUGCAUGUGCAAUAAAAUAGCCAGA
rnacentral:lncRNA from 12 species